AUGGCAGUCACGGGUAACGGAGAUAGGUUCGAUUCCGGAGAGGGAGCCUGAGAAACGGCUACCACAUCUACGGAAGGCAGCAGGCGCGUAAAUUACCCAAUCCUGAUUCAGGGAGGUAGUGACAAGAAAUAACAACUCGGGGCCUUACGGCUUACGAGAUUGCAAUGAGAACAAUUUAAAAUCUCUUAGCGAGGAACAAUUGGAGGGCAAGUCUGGUGCCAGCAGCCGCGGUAAUUCCAGCUCCAAUAGCGUAUAUUAAAGUUGUUGCAGUUAAAAAGCUCGUAGUUGAAUUUCUGAUUAUGGAUGUAGCGGUUUCCGUUACAUUUGUAGUCAUCCACAUGAGAACCUUUCUCGGCCUUCACUGGUCGGUUGGGGGAUCAUGUACUUUACUUUGAAAAAAUCAGAGUGUUUCAGGCAGGCGUUUGCAUGAAUACACAAGCAUGGAAUAAUGGAAUAGGACUAGGGUCCAUUUUUAUUGGUUAUUGGACCAUAGUAAUGAUUAAUAGGGACAGUUGGGGGGC
rnacentral:rRNA from 1 species